AAGAGCCGAGCUGCAUAUGUAAUGAAGUGCUUUAGGAUUACGUCACCUUUUAUAUAACAUCUGGCAGUGACUUUUAUUUCAGAGCUAAUUUGAAGAAGCCAGGAGCUUUUUUUUUUUUUUCCCCUUCCUCUCCCGGAGCCUGCCUUUAUCUGAAAGAAGAAAAAGGAACAGUUACAUUUUGCAUGCAAAGAAAACCAGUGUGGCUAGGUUGUUCCCUUGGGGUAAUGAAGAAAGGAAAAAAGGACCUGAAAAGGGUCAGGUGAAUAAGGCAGAAGGAAUGGAGAGCUUUGUGGGAUUCUUAGUGAGACCGGACUGAUUUGAGCAACCACACAGGUGACCUGGGUGGCUGGGUCCUUCCUGUCUAUCUCUUCUGCCCUCGCUUGGUCUGGCUGCACACGCCCGAACCAAGAAUACCACAGCAGUAAUCUGACUGUAAAUAUCUGAUCCGAAGUGAGAGAUUAUAAAAAUGACUGAGAUGAUUGCAGAAAGUCCUUCAGUUUCUUCCUUUAUCGUUUGAGGAGAAAGCCACCCCUCCAAACAACAUCUGCCUUCCCCGUGGUGUCUAGAAGCACACAUCUGUCAUUGUAUUCAUGCGGUCAGCUUGCCUCUUUUUUUUUUCUAUCUAUACUGACAAUGGUGAAGGCCUAGGCAAUAGAAUCCCCUCUCUUGAAACUGAGGGUUCUGGAGGCUUGGGGAGCCUCUUUGCAUUUCUCCUUUUCCCCACUUGAAGUUUCUCUGCACAGCUUGUCUUGGCACAGCCUGGCCCUGACUGAACUGUGUUUGAUGACCUCACUGUCCUCCUUCAUGUAAAAACACCUUCACAGGAUGGAAGGAAGGAAGGAAGGAAGAUAAAAGCAUUCUUUUCAGUGGAAUGUCAAGAGAAGUGUCUUCUGUCUCCAGACUCUUGGAACAGGCAGGAGGCUGAGGAAAGGCUGUGGGGACUGUGCCCUGGGGAGCUCCAGGCAUGACACAAGACUUGAACAGAUCCUGUCCAGUGAACAGAGUGUUAAUCACUGCAGAGACGUGGGUGUUGGUGCUGCAGGUCUGUAAUCUCAGCACUCAGGAAGCAGAGAAAGGAGGACCAGAAAUUCAGGACCGUCCCUUGCAACAUAUUGAAUCUGAAGCCAGCCUGUGCUACACGAGACCCUGUCUAAAAAUAACCAAAAACCCAACUAAAACAACAACCACAAAACCAA